rnacentral:ncRNA from 1 species
GCGGUACAGACUGAGCAGGCGCGGACAUUCAUCCGCAGCCGGGCCUCUGGGCAGUGGAUAAAAAUCCGCAGGACAGCA